UUGCUGUUUGUGACUCUCGGCAAGCAGGCAACAACUUUCUGUUGCUGUUUCUGGAACUUAUCUUCUCGGCACAGCAGGUUUUUGGUUCAAGAUUUAAUUUUUAGUGCAGUAUUUUGGUUCAUGAUUUAAUUUUUUAGUGCAGGGAGGUUGUUCUUGGUUUUUCUUUGUAUCUGCAUUGUUUAUUUUGGGCUUCUAGAUUUUCUGGUGGUCUAUUUCUUUCGGCACUGUCUGUUUUUUUUGCUGCUUCUUGAUUUUCCCCAUUAUUUAGCAUGGACUAUGCACCUGUGUGUGCCAAGUUUACGGGCAACAAUUAUUUUAUGUGGGCUUUUCAGUUUGAAUUCUUUGUGGUCAUAUUGAUGGCACAGAUUGUGCACCCAAUCCUGAUAAAUCGAAGGAGUCUGCAGCUUGUCCUUCAUGGGUUGUGCUUGAUGCUCGGAUUAUGUCUUGGCUUCUUGGCUCGAUUGAGCCACAUAUUGUCCCCAACUUGUGACCUUAUCGCAUUGCUCAAUCCAUGUGGACUUAUUUUAAAACAAUAUAUCAUCAAGAUAAAGUGCCUGUUUUUUCCAGUUAGAGCAUGCAAUUGCCAUGUUUCAACAUGACAAUCGUUCCAUCCAAGACUAUUAUUCGGUGUUUCUGACUUUUUGGAAUGAAUAUUCUGAUCUGGUUAUUGCGGAUGUUCCUGUGGCUUCUCUUCCCAUUAUUCAACACCUUCACAAGACUAGUCGUCGUAAUCAGUUUCUUAUGAAACUCAGCCCCGAGUAUGAAUUUGUUCCCUCGUCUCUGCUAAAUCGCUCUCCUGUUCCUUCUCUAGAUGUUUGUUUUGGUGAGUUACUUCGUGAAGAACAACGGCUUAGCACUCAAGUUACUCUGGCACAAUCUCAUGAUAGUUUUGGGUUUGUCCCUGUGGCUUAUGCUACUCAACGAUGAGGACUGCUUGCGCAUUCUAGCACUUUGUAGUGUUUUUGUUGAAAAGAAUUUGGACAUGUUGUUGCUAAUUGUUCCAAGAAAAUCUGCUCUUAUUGCAAGAAGAAGGGUUACAUUAUCAAAGAAUGUCGUAUUCGCCCGUAGAAUUGUCAGGCCUAGACAUUCCAGACUUCUGUUAGUGUACCCCCCACAGUGACGUUUGUGGUUCCUGGCUCUUUCAGGUGACUUCUCGGUUCUUGCACCUCCUCCAGCGAAUUAUUGCACACCCGAAAUGGUGCAAUAGAUGCUAAUUUCGGCAUUAUCAGCAAUGGGGCUCCAAGGACCAGGUAACGGGGUAGUCGAUCGCGAAGGGACCUAAAGUGGGGCGCUUGUUUCCACUAAUUUUUCCUGUUCCAACACGUUCUCCAGUUUCUUCUACUAAGUCUUUUGCUUGUAAUAAUGUUUCAGAUCUUAGUAUGGUGUUGCAUCGUUGUUUAGGCCAUCCCAAUACUCAGAUUUUAUCUCAUGUAUUGCAAUUUGGUUUACUUGGUAAUAAAGAACGUUUCUCUU